AUACGGAGGGUGCGAGCGUUAAUCAGAAUUACUGGGCGUAAAGGGUGCGUAGGCGGCUUGAUAAGUCGGAUGUGAAAGCCCCGGGCUUAACCUGGGAAUUGCAUUCGAUACUGUCAGGCUAGAGUAUGUCAGAGGUUGGCGGAAUUCCUCGUGUAGCGGUGAAAUGCGUAGAUAUCAGGAGGAACACCAGUGGCGAAGGCGGCUAACUGGGGCAAUACUGACGCUGAGGCACGAAAGCGUGGGGAGCAAACAGGAUUAGAAACCCUAGUAGUCC
rnacentral:rRNA from 1 species